rnacentral:lncRNA from 1 species
CGGCCUGCCUCUCCCUCUCGAACAAAGGCCACAACAAAACACUACACGCAAAACAAAGCACAGGCACCGUACAGCGCUUGCCCUGCAUGUGUGCUCGUUGUGCGUGUUUCUCCCCACGCUCGUGUCUUCUUCGCACCGGGAAUGGUACGAACUUGUCCCGUUACUAGCUCGCCCGAAUAUGUUCGUUCCUCUCGAAACCGCGCGUGGCGUCCGCUUUGCGGCCGGCUGGAACCAGUCCGCGCCGCAUUGAGCCUCAACGACGAUGACUUUUCGAGGAGAGCUGCACGUUUGCUUUUUCCCUCUCCGGCCUUCCGCGUCCAUUCAAGCCAGCACACAACAUUGCGGCGUCACUAAGAAAAUAAAGAACGAGAAUGACGCGAAGGCAUGGAUAACUGCGGGACCAUCGUGCGCAGCCAAAACCAAAGGGCGACCCUCCCGCUUCCAAGGACCAGGCAGCAGAUAAGCGACUUGAAGCUGUCGUCAAACAACGCAGACAGGGGGUCAAGCGUUGGUCUGUGAGCACAGGUAACCAAGGUCGCUGGGACUCGCGGCGAUGCCAAGGAGUACCACGGUGGCGUUGCUGCUUAUCGGAUGCCUCCGGAGCUGGGCUCGGCGGCGGCCACGGCCGUCGAUAUAUCGACGUGUAUCGACUACUCGGUGCGGCGGGCCCGACUUCUCUCCGCCAAUAAACAGAGGCGCCUUUGGCU